UACAGAGGGGGCAAGCGUUGUUCGGAAUUACUGGGCGUAAAGGGCGCGUAGGCGGCCUGCUAAGUCGAACGUGAAAUCCCUGGGCUCAACCCAGGAACUGCGUCCGAUACUGGUUGGCUUGAAUCCGGGAGAGGGAUGUGGAAUUCCAGGUGUAGCGGUGAAAUGCGUAGAUAUCUGGAGGAACACCGGUGGCGAAGGCGACAUCCUGGACCGGUAUUGACGCUGAGGCUCGAAAGCAUGGGGAGCAAACAGG
rnacentral:rRNA from 1 species